rnacentral:rRNA from 1 species
AAUNGCGAAGCCUGAUGCAGCAACGCCGCGCUGCGGGAUGACGGCCUUCGGGUUGUAAACCGCUUUCAGCUCCGACGAAGCGCAAGUGACGGUAGGAGCAGAAGAAGGACCGGCCAACUACGUGCCAGCAGCCGCGGUGAUACGUAGGGUCCGAGCGUUGUCCGGAAUUAUUGGGCGUAAAGGGCUUGUAGGCGGUUUGUCACGUCGGAAGUGAAAACUCAGGGCUUAACCCUGAGCCUGCUUCCGAUACGGGCAAACUAGAGGAAUGCAGGGGAGAAUGGAAUUCCUGGUGGAGCGGUGGAAUGCGCAGAUAUCAGGAGGAACACCAGUGGCGAAGGCGGUUCUCUGGGCAUUUCCUGACGCUGAGAAGCGAAAGCGUGGGGAGCAAACAGGCUUAGAUACCCUGGUAGUCCACGCCGUAAACGGUGGGCACUAGGUGUGGGACUCAUUCCACGAGUUCCGUGCCGUAGCUAACGCAUUAAGUGCCCCGCCUGGGGAGUACGGCCGCAAGGCUAAAACUCAAAGGAAUUGACGGGGGCCCGCACAAGCGGCGGAGCAUGCGGAUUAAUUCGAUGCAACGCGAAGAACCUUACCUGGGUUUGACAUAUACCGGAAAGCUGCAGAGAUGUAGCCCCCGCAAGGUCGGUAUACAGGUGGUGCAUGGCUGUCGUCAGCUCGUGUCGUGAGAUGUUGGGUUAAGUCCCGCAACGAGCGCAACCCUCGUCCUAUGUUGCCAGCGGAUAAUGCCGGGGACUCAUAGGAGACUGCCGGGGUCAACUCGGAGGAAGGUGGGGAUGACGUCAAGUCAUCAUGCCCCUUAAGUCCAGGGCUUCACGCAUGCUACAAUGGCUGGUACAAAGGGCUGCAAUACCGCAAGGUUGAGCGAAUCCCAAAAAGCCAGUCUCAGUUCGNAUUGGGGUCUGCA